UUAAAGUUAAUUCUAGCUUUUGUAUUUAUUAAAUUUUGAUUUUAUAUAUAAAUUUUUGUGUGAUUUUUUAAUAAAUUUUAAAAAUUAUUAAAUUAUUAUAUUUAUAGUAUUUAAUUUUAAAAAUUAAAGUAAUUUAAAUUUAGUUAAAAGUAAUUUUAUUAAUAAAAUUUGUGCCAGCAAUUGCGGUUAUACAAAUAAUAAAUUAAAUAUUAUUAAUUUUUAGUUAAAUUUAUAAUUAAAAAAUAAAGUUUUUUAUUAGGUGAAAUUUUAUAAUAUAAAAAUUUUUUAUAAUAUUUAUAGGUUGAUUCUAAUUAAAAUAUGGCUUAAACUAGGAUUAGAUACCCUAUUAUUUUAUUGAAAUUUUAAAAAUUUAUUAUUAUUAAUAUAAAUAUUUUAUAUUUUAAAAUUAAAGAAUAUGGCGGUAUUUAAAUCUAUUUAGGGGAACUUGUUUAAUAAAUGAUAAUCCACGAUUUAAUUUACUUAAUUUAUUUAAUUAGUAUAUCGUCGUUAUAAAAAUAUUUUUUAGAAAAAAAUUUAAAUAUUUUAAAAUAUAAUUAUAUCAGAUCAAGGUGCAAUUUAUAAUUAAGCUAAAAUGAGUUAUAAUAAAUAUAUUUAAAUGGAUUUAAAUUAUAAUUAAUUUAAUGAAAGUAGAUUUAUAAGUAAUUUAAUUUAAUUAAAUUAAAUGAUUAAGAUUUAAAAUAUGUACAUAUUGCCCGUCGCUUUUAUAUUAAAUUAAAAUAAGUCGUAACAAAGUAGAGAUAUUGGAAAAUGUUUCUAGAAAGUC
rnacentral:ncRNA from 1 species